rnacentral:rRNA from 1 species
GUGGGGAAUUUUGGACAAUGGGCGAAAGCCUGAUCCAGCCAUGCCGCGUGCAGGAUGAAGGCCUUCGGGUUGUAAACUGCUUUUGUACGGAACGAAAAGACUCCUUCUAAUAAAGGGGGUCCAUGACGGUACCGUAAGAAUAAGCACCGGCUAACUACGUGCCAGCAGCCGCGGUAAUACGUAGGGUGCAAGCGUUAAUCGGAAUUACUGGGCGUAAAGCGUGCGCAGGCGGUUAUAUAAGACAGAUGUGAAAUCCCCGGGCUCAACCUGGGAACUGCAUUUGUGACUGUAUAGCUAGAGUACGGUAGAGGGGGAUGGAAUUCCGCGUGUAGCAGUGAAAUGCGUAGAUAUGCGGAGGAACACCGAUGGCGAAGGCAAUCCCCUGGGCCUGCACUGACGCUCAUGCACGAAAGCGUGGGGAGCAAACAGGAUUAGAAACCCCUGUAGUCC